GGGACACGAGAAAUCUUGACUGAAUAUGGGGGGACCAUCCUCCAAGGCUAAAUACUCCUGAUUGACCGAUAGUGAACCAGUACCGUGAGGGAAAGGCGAAAAGAACCCCGGAGAGGGGAGUGAAAUAGAACCUAAAACCGUGUGCAUACAAGCAGUGGGAGCCGUAAGGUGACUGCGUACCUUUUGUAUAAUGGGUCAGCGACUUCGUCUCACGAGCAAGCUUAAGCCGUUAGGUGGAGGCGUAGCGAAAGCGAGUCUGAAUAGGGCGA
rnacentral:rRNA from 1 species